rnacentral:snRNA from 20 species
ACACUUACCCGGGAGGGCCUAUCGCUGACCCAGAAGGGCGAUGAUCUUCGGAGAACUGACCGAUUGCACCACGGCUUGGCGUAAUUUAGCAUAUGAAAGUGCACGUCGUAACUUGUGGAAGCGGAGGGCUCGCGUACGCGCUGCAUUCCG